rnacentral:tRNA from 1 species
GCCCUCGUAGCUCAAUUGGAUAGAGCACCGGAUUUCUAAUCCGGUGGUUCCAGGUUCAAGUCCUGGCGGGGGUACCA